rnacentral:rRNA from 1 species
UUAUAUGAGAGUUUGAUCCUGGCUCAGGACGAACGCUGGCGGCAUGCCUAAUACAUGCAAGUCGAACGCACGAAGUUGAAAAGCUUGCUUUUCGACCA